rnacentral:rRNA from 1 species
UACGUAGGGUACAAGCGUUGUCCGGAAUUAUUGGGCGUAAAGAGCUCGUAGGCGGUCUGUCGCGUCUGCUGUGAAAACCUAGGGCUUAACUCUGGGCGUGCAGUGGGUACGGGCAGGCUAGAGUGCGGUAGGGGAGACUGGAAUUCCUGGUGUAGCGGUGAAAUGCGCAGAUAUCAGGAGGAACACCGGUGGCGAAGGCGGGUCUCUGGGCCGUAACUGACGCUGAGGAGCGAAAGCAUGGGGAGCGAACAGG